rnacentral:rRNA from 1 species
AACGAACGCUGGCGGCAUGCCUAACACAUGCAAGUCGAACGAGACCUUCGGGUCUAGUGGCGCACGGGUGCGUAACGCGUGGGAAUCUGCCCUUGGGUUCGGAAUAACAGUUGGAAACGACUGCUAAUACCGGAUGAUGACGUAAGUCCAAAGAUUUAUCGCCCAAGGAUGAGCCCGCGUAGGAUUAGCUAGUUGGUGGGGUAAAGGCUCACCAAGGCGACGAUCCUUAGCUGGUCUGAGAGGAUGAUCAGCCACACUGGGACUGAGACACGGCCCAGACUCCUACGGGAGGUAGCAGUGGGGAAUAUUGGACAAUGGGCGAAAGCCUGAUCCAGCAAUGCCGCGUGAGUGAUGAAGGCCUUAGGGUUGUAAAGCUCUUUUACCCGGGAUGAUAAUGACAGUACCGGGAGAAUAAGCUCCGGCUAACUCCGUG